rfam:Hordeum vulgare subsp. vulgare, WGS project CAJW01000000 data, contig: morex_contig_1742131
AUAGUACUCCCUCCGUCCGGAAAUACUCGUCCUAGAAAUGAAUAAAAUGGAUACAUCUAUAACUAAAAUAAGUCUAGAUACAUUCAUUUUUAGGACAAGUAUUUCCUGACGGGGGGAGUAUAAU